AUUGAACGCUGGCGGCAUGCCUUACACAUGCAAGUCGAACGGCAGCACGGGUGCUUGCACCUGGUGGCGAGUGGCGAACGGGUGAGUAAUACAUCGGAACGUACCUUAUCGUGGGGGAUAACGCAGCGAAAGCUGUGCUAAUACCGCAUACGCCCUGAGGGGGAAAGCGGGGGAUCGAAAGACCUCGCGCGAUUAGAGCGGCCGAUGCCUGAUUAGCUUGUUGGUGGGGUAAAAGCCCACCAAGGCGACGAUCAGUAGCUGGUCUGAGAGGACGAUCAGCCACACUGGGACGAAGACACGGCCCAGACUCCUACGGGAGGCAGCAGGGGGGAAUUUUGGACAAUGGGGGCAACCCUGAUCCAGCAAUGCCGCGUGAGUGAAGAAGGCCUUCGGGUUGUAAAGCUCUUUUGUCAGGGAAGAAACACCGGCUCUAACACAGUCCGGGAAUGACGGUACCUGAAGAAUAAGCACCGGCUAACUACGUGCCAGCCGCCGCGGUAA
rnacentral:rRNA from 1 species